UGUGGCUCAGUGGUAGAGCACUUGUCUUGUAUGUGGGAAGUCCUGGGUUCAAUUCCUAGCA
rnacentral:tRNA from 1 species